GGCGAACGCUGGCGGCGUACCUAAUACAUGCAAGUUGAGCGCUGAAGGUUGGUACUUGUACCCACUGGAUGAGCAGCGAACGGGUGAGUAACGCGUGGGGAAUCUGCCUUUGAGCGGGGGACAACAUUUGGAAACGAAUGCUAAUACCGCAUAAAAACUUUAAACACAAGUUUUAAGUUUGAAAGAUGCAAUUGCAUCACUCAAAGAUGAUCCCGCGUUGUAUUAGCUAGUUGGUGAGGUAAAGGCUCACCAAGGCGAUGAUACAUAGCCGACCUGAGAGGGUGAUCGGCCACAUUGGGACUGAGACACGGCCCAAACUCCUACGGGAGGCAGCAGUAGGGAAUCUUCAGCAAUAGACGAAAGUCUGACCGAGCAACGCCGCGUGAGUGAAGAAGGUUUUCGGAUCGUAAAACUCUGUUGGUAGAGAAGAACGUUGGUGAGAGUGGAAAGCUCAUCAAGUGACGGUAACUACCCAGAAAGGGACGGCUAACUACGUG
rnacentral:rRNA from 1 species